UACGUAGGGUGCGAGCGUUGUCCGGAAUUAUUGGGCGUAAAGGGCUCGUAGGCGGUUUGUCGCGUCGGGAGUGAAAACUCAGGGCUUAACCCUGAGCCUGCUCCCGAUACGGGCAGACUAGAGGUAUGCAGGGGAGAACGGAAUUCCUGGUGUAGCGGUGAAAUGCGCAGAUAUCAGGAGGAACACCGGUGGCGAAGGCGGUUCUCUGGGCAUUACCUGACGCUGAGGAGCGAAAGCUAGGGGAGCAAACGGG
rnacentral:rRNA from 1 species